rnacentral:rRNA from 1 species
AUUGAACGCUGGCGGAAUGCUUUACACAUGCAAGUCGAACGGCAGCACGGGUGCUUGCACCUGGUGGCGAGUGGCGAACGGGUGAGUAACAUAUCGGAACGUACCCAGUAAUGGGGGAUAACUAACCGAAAGGUUAGCUAAUACCGCAUACGCCCUGAGGGGGAAAGCGGGGGAUCGAAAGACCUCGCGUUAUUGGAGCGGCCGAUAUCUGAUUAGCUAGUUGGUGAGGUAAAGGCUCACCAAGGCGACGAUCAGUAGCUGGUCUGAGAGGAUGAUCAGCCACACUGGAACUGAGACACGGUCCAGACUCCUACGGGAGGCAGCAGUGGGGAAUUUUGGACAAUGGGCGAAAGCCUGAUCCAGCCAUUCCGCGUGAGUGAAGAAGGCCUUCGGGUUGUAAACUGCUUUUGUCAGGGAAGAAAUCCUCUAGGUUAAUACCCUUGGGGGGAUGACGGUACCUGAAGAAUAAGCACCGGCUAACUACGUGCCAGCAGCCGCAGUAAAAC